rnacentral:rRNA from 1 species
UACGUAGGGUGCAAGCGUUGUCCGGAAUUAUUGGGCGUAAAGAGCUCGUAGGCGGUCUGUCGCGUCGGCUGUGAAAACCCGAGGCUCAACCUCGGGCCUGCAGUCGAUACGGGCAAACUAGAGUACUGCAGGGGAGACUGGAAUUCCUGGUGUAGCGGUGAAAUGCGCAGAUAUCAGGAGGAACACCGGUGGCGAAGGCGGGACUCUGGGCCGAUACUGACGCUGAGGAGCGAAAGCGUGGGGAGCAAACAGG